GGGAGCGAGAGUGGGGCGGGGACCCUCGCGAGCCCGCACUCUGCCUCUGGGUAGCAGCCUCUUCGGCCCCACACGGAGUGACGCGCGCUCGGGCUCCGCGUUCGCGUCGAGGCAGAGGCCUAGUAGGGGUCGGGCCCGGGGCUGGAGGGGCUGGGACCGGGCGGGGUGCUGCCCUGGACACCGCGCCGGCAGCUGUUCCGCGCGGAGUUUCUCUCCUGUCACAAUGGCAUGAUCUCGGCUCACUGCGACCUCUGCUUCCUGGGUUCAAGGAUUCUCCUGCCUCAGCCUCCCAAGUAGCUGGGAUUACAGGAAUCUCACCAGUGACACGCGUUUGUGAAAAGCUGUGAAUAUUCAGUGCCACAGGGUUAAACCUCGGUACAGAAGCGAGACCCUGCUGGGCAGAGAAAGGGUGACCUGGAAGGUGUGUGAGGGCCCCGCCCACGGGCCCCUGUGAUGGUCAUGGCCUCAAGAAUCACAGUCCAGUUUCCAUCAUUAUCUUCUAUGGAGUUCUUCAUUCCCACAUCUGCGGCCCUUAAAAUCCUACGGUUGAGUGCCUGCCUUGGAUCAGCAGUCAGUUCGUUACCUUGGUUCUCAGACGAUGCUUGCAACAACGCCAUGCGAUUCGCCCACUCUUGGGUAGAUGGAGACAUUGGGGCUCAGGUGUGGGCAGUUUUAAGAAGAAUGCAUUGAUUCUACAACAUGCUAUUGUGAAGCCAUCCAGGACUGUUCACUCACUUAUUUAAGAAAGAGAAAAUAAGAGAAGUAUCCCUGAAGGAUGAAAUAUCCUCAAAUAUGAAAAUGUCUGCUCUCUGAAGACCAACUGUCUUAGUCUGCUUUUUGCUGCUGUAACAGAAUACCACAGACUUGGUUACAUUAGUUAUAAUAUACACUCUGGAGGUGACUUGACCUGUCAUUGUGAACAACUAUUGCUCUUGGACGACCCAGGACAUAGGCCAGCCAGUACGUACCCCAGUGUGUUGGAGAAUCGCGCUUGGCUUCUUCCUCUGUGCUGAGUCAUGAAAGUUGCCAGAGCAGGUGCAGUUACACAACCUCCAGGCAACAUCACAUGAUCGUUCAAAAAAUAAUCAUCAAGUCCAGGAUGCAGCAUCUGUCGCAGUUCUGGGCAUAGGAUGACGGUCUGAAAUACACUUACUAAAUUUGAAUAAGAACGGGCUCAGGUCAGUGAUUAUCGCUAGUGCCUUAUCAACACCCUGUGGCUUUUCAGCAUUAGUCCCCAUAUCCUCGUCCGGUGUGGCACUGAGAGCAGUGGAUUAAGUUUGAAGGGCCUGUGGAUCAUUCAGCUGGGGAAGUCCAGGUAAAGAAGACGAUAUAGGGGAGCUCAGAGCAGGGCCUGGGCCUCCAGCCUCUUCUGGACAACAGCCAUGUAGAGCCAGUGAGCUGAGGGCUGUGAGGAGCAGGGUGGAAGGUAGGGAGGGGUUACAUGAAGUUGCAUAAGGGUUAUUUUCUUUGUAGAAUUUUUUUAAGAUAGGAAAACAUGACAAUGUUUAUAAAUUGGAAGAAAAGUACAAGUUGUGAAAGGGAGAGGUUGAAUCCAGAGAGGGGAGGAAUAAACUUGGAGAAGAGAGACAGUGCUCAGGUGAAAUGGGAGGUGAGUGGAGAAAGCUGUGUAGAUGGAGAUGAGUUUGUGGGGAGGGGCAGGAGGUGAGAAAGCCUCUUUCUUUCUUUGCAAAGCAGGACACUUCUUCAGAUCUCAUUUUCAAUUUUGCUUCUUUUAGAUUAUUAUUCCUAUUUUCAAAGCAAGCUGAAACUUCACUCAUGAGAUUGUUCUUUUCCCAGGAGUCAUUGGAAGGUGAAUGUUUACAGCUAAUGUCAAAGAUCUCUUGAGCCUUGAUAGCUAGUCUGUAUUUGGCAAGACUUCAAUGUUAGAAGAUUUAAGAUACUUUUAGUCUGAGUAACAAUCACAAUUAACUCAUUUAGCCUGGCUUAGGCUGAUUUGGAGGAGAUGGAAGUAAAGGCUCAGUUCAAGACUCACCUUCUUCAUCGAAACUUCUCCAAUUCACCCCAUUCUUCACUGGGCUACCUCUUCAUAUGACUGUUAUCAUCCCUCUAUAAUCUGAUAGGUCAGUCAGCUGGGUAACAAUCAACCUUAAAAUUUUAAUGUCUUGUGACCACAAAUUUAGUUUUUUUUCUGCUCCUGAGUUUGUGGGUCAGCUGAGGUUUGAGGAUCUUCACUCAGCUCAUCUGGUCUUAGAUCCAGGUUCAGGUAUGGCCCAGGCAUGCUCUAUCUGUCUUAUUCUGAGGCUCAAGCUGAAUGGGUUACAGAUACCCAGGAGUAACUGAUGAUGACAAAGCAGGAGAAGGCAAGGGCAGCCCCACAAACAUUUCAAAACCUGCUUGUGUCAAAUCCACUAUCAUUCCUUUGGCCAAAACAAGUCACAUGGUCAAGGAAGUAUACUCUGUCCAACCAUAGGGAGUCACAAACUGGGUAUAACAAUUCAGUCUGCAACCCCUGGCUUGUCAGUAAUCUCACCUGAGAACCUGUCAGUUACCUGCUCCAUAUACGCACAUGAGAAAAAAUUGUAGCUUAUCCUUCUCCUGAUUCCACUGUAUUUAGAGUAGAAACAUCUUGGGACAGGGCUUGGAUUCAAAGAUUGGCCCCAUCACCAGGAUACAUCAUUUGUUCUUUGGCAGCUCUCUUUCCUCUUCUGCCAAAUGGGAAAUAAGAAUUCUGUGAACAGAUACGAUAGGAUACACAUAUAAAGACAUUGGUCAGAUAUGAUAUGUAUGGAGAUGAGAAGAGAGUUGUUUAACAAUAUUUUAAAACUUAGGGUUUAUUCGUGACCAUAUCCAAUUUCAAACUAAGCCAUGCAUUUAAUCUUGAUUUGCUAAGAAAAUUUGCAAACUAAGCCGGUAUUGAUUUUUGUGGUUAGGGAUACUAGAAAACCAGUAACUGUGUUCUCAUCGUAACAAAGCUUAGCAUAUUCACCCCAAAGCAAAAAAAAAAGUUCCAGAGGUGGGGUCAGUGGCUUUGCAUAAGCAUGGACUGGGCAGAGUGUGUCUUCCUCCACCAAAUGGCACAUGGUUGACCUCUUCACUUAAAGGAGACAUACUCAACAAUGUGUGUCACACUGUGGACUCUGCCCAGUGUAUACGGUACACGUGCAUUCAAGAGAAACAAGGUUUAACCAAAUGCAUUCAACAGCAGAUACUUGAAGCUUACUUGAAAAAGCCUCAGACUGCUCACGACAGGUGCUGGCUGUUGAAUGUUGAGACAGAAUUUUCAAAACCAGAUGCAAACGAAUCCAGUCAUCUGACACUUGGUGUGGCUUGAAAAACAAUAUACUGAUCUGGUCUUAAUUUUGAUCAUUUGUUUCAAAUGUGCUGUUUUUAUUUUCUCAUUCACCUAAACAUUUCCACUUCCUUCUGCUGACAUUAAGGGACAGAGAAAGGUAUCUGUUGGUUGUUAGGCUCAGAAUUCCAUUCAUCUAAAAGCCAGCUAAGCCCUAGCUAGAUGCAGACAUGGAGGAAAGUUGACCCAUGCAAAACUUCUCUUGGGAGUCCCAUUUAAUACUCAUCAGUCUUCUUGUUGCCUGCUUCUAAUUCUGCAGGUCCUCCUUGGUUUCUCUUUAAGCCAGCACUUAUUUCCAUGGUGGGUUGGAGUGAGGAACAGUGUUGCAAAGGCAAUUAAAAUGUUGACAAAUUGGGGCCACAUUUUGUUUAUAAAUAAAAUAAAUUUCUGUGAAUAGCAUCCAAAGUUUCUCAGUUACUAAAGAACUCAGAUAUUGGGAGGCUGCUAAAUUAGGGUAAGUGCUAAAAAAUCUGGCUGAUUCGAUUUGUGACUUGAGGGGAAAAGAGAUAUGCAGUUAGAGAUAUUUUCAGAUUUGGUAUUGAGGUUAUCACUGUCAGAGAAAAGGAAGCUGAAAUUAAUUACUAAAGUUAAAAGCUGGAGUGUGAAGGACUUAAAAGCCAAAAUUUACUGACAGACUUCUUUUCAUUUUUAAAUCUCAAACAUUAAUAAGAGCAAUUAAUAAAAUUAUCAAAUUGUUCUAUUAUAGUUCUUGGUAUUAGAGGCUGUAAACCAUCUGGAUCCUCAGGGUAUCAAAAAAGUAAAGACAUUCAUGAAUUACCAACUGGGAAUUUGGAUCAGGUCUCGCAUAAUGAAGCUCAUGCACAGUAGCUGCUGCUCACUCUAAGUCCUCUAGGGCAUUUUCAGUAAUUCAGCAGAAAGCCACACUGACAUCAUAGAAAUUCAUUACAGUUAGCAAAAACAGUUUUAGAAAAAAAUGAUGAAUAAUCAAGUAUAAUCUACUUUAGCAGUUUAACAAAAAUUCUGCUCACUGAUUUAGACUAAAGAUUUUGAAAUUUCAGAGUUGGUCUAAGGUAUUAAAAUGUUCUUAGGUAGCUUGUGAGUGAGACCAUUUGCUUUUGGUACUACUCUCAGUGUUUUUCUUUCUGUAACAGUGCCAAGGGUUAAGUGUCUCCAUCUCUUUCAUGAGCAUAAAAUAUGUACAAUAAUUUUGCUUUGUUUUUUUAUUGGAAUUUAAAGCAGUAUUGCAAGAUCAGAUACUGUGAGCAUAUUCUCAUAUCUCUUCAAUACAAAAAAGGGGCAAAGCAUAAUUUAUUCCAGAGGAGAUCUGGAUGCAUUUAAGCUUGCAACUAUUACUCCACAUAAGUUAUCUCUCUAUGUGUUUAAAUAUGAUUAUGUAUGUCAGUUGAGAACUUUUAGGCCGGGUGUGGUGGUUCAUGCCUAUAAUCCUAGCCAGGCGUGGUGGGAGGGGCCUGUAAUCCCAGCUACUUGGGAGGCUGAGGCAGGAGAAUCCUUGAACCUGGGAGGUGGAGGUUGCAGUGAGCUGAGACUGUGCCACUGCACUCCAGCCUGGGCAACAAGAGCAAAACUCCAUCUCAAAAAAAAAAAAAUCCUUUCAGGUUUUGGUCCUAGAUAGAGUAGCUGACAAAGAUAAAAGAUCUCAAGAGUUCAACCAGUUCCAUCACCCUUUGGCCACUGAGAGGUUUAAUUCUAUAUAUUUUUGGUGCCUACUGAAUAUUUCCAUCAGAUAUAAGACAUCACAGCCUUGGAAAGGAAGUUAGAAACCAUCCAUCAUGUAGAUCAGCAUUUGGAAAAGUCUGUUCCAUAGAACAGCUCUUUCUUGAAUGAAAUAAAUAGCUCUCCAUUGAAAUUCCAUGAAGGUCAUAUUCAUAUUGAAAGCUCUGAGAUGUUCUAUACUGGUAAAGUCUCCUUCACUUUGUUUUAACAAGGGUUUCUCAAAUGUGUUUAACCACAGAGCACUUUUUUUCCUUGUGAUGUUUGCCACACUCCUUAGGAGUAACCUCCCAUGUUACACACUGAGGGCAAGGUUGUACUAGACUGUGAGCUCUUUAAGGUCUAGGAGCAGCUCUUUGCUGGAUCUUGGAUUCCUGGUGCCUCCCACAGUGCUGGCAAGUGGUAGGCACCUAAUCAGUGUUUGCUGAGUGGAUCUAGUUCAACACCUUCAGGUCGUGAGUGAAGAGCCUGAAGGUCCACACAGUUAGGUAGCUGGCCAAGGUCACACAGGUCAUAAGGGAAAGAAUGACAAGAAGCCACUUAGAUACCGAGGCAGAGAAUAGCCUGCUGAGGCCAAUAGACAGAGUCCAGCUUUGUCACCAAAAUGGAGAAUGUGUAAGAUGAGGCACAGAAGAGUGGUGGGGCCAGAGAAAACACAGCAGAAUGUGGCUGACAGGAUCUUAGGAAGACGAAGUUAUGAGGUGCUGAGCAGAGACAAGCAGGAAGUAGCCAUGCAAUUAUUUUACUAUCUGUUAUCGGUUAUUUGUUUAAGUGUACCUGGAUUCAACAGAGUAGUCAAAUCCAUCCCUUUCAUCACUAAACACUGAGAUUCCCACUGACUUCUACCUACCAUAACCAAUUUUCCUGGAAUUUAUCAAAUAUUCUUGAAAAUCUACUGCAGUCAACAUAAAUUUGUAGAAAAAAUAUGUUAUUUUUUAAUAUACAAAAACUUCGUAUCUUAAAAUGUAUUUAAAAACUCCAAAUAUUUAUAAACUCCUGUUCUGGGGUCAUUUGUUUUCUGUAAUAAAAAAACCGUGAAAAGAACACUGUGUAAGAGUGAAUAAGCCCAGGUUCAAGUCCUGCUGCUAUUAAUUGGGGUGUUGGAUAGAACACAGCUCUCCAUGUAUCAGUUUGCUCAUUUGUGAAAAAAAAAAAAAAAAAACAUUCACAGCAGAUGAUUUCUAAGGUUCCACCCAACCUUAAAAUGUUAAGUUUCCAGGAAAAUUUUGUGUAAUAACAUUUCUUUACUGGAAAACAAAAAUUUUGGCUUGCUCUUUUGACUGGGGAUUUGGUUUAGCAAGAAUAUUAUUGCUCAUCCUUUGAGAAUGUGAAGCUGUCAGGUAAACAUCAGGAAAAAUUUUAAAACAGAAAAUUAAUCAGGGAAAGAAAAUACUUGUCAGGUGUUUUAGAAUCAGAGAAACCCUAGUUUACAUAAUAAAGCAUCACAUAAACUGGCAGCAAGACUGUCCCACAAUCCACAGAGGAGAGAGCUUUAAGGAUAUAGCCAUGAAAAUUGCAAGCAAAAUAAGAAAUGAAACUUAGUUUUCCUGAUGAUAUUCUUUCCAGUAUCUCUAAGACAGUUCCUUAACUUCCAAUUAUGUUUAUUAAUAGUUACUGAGACUUUAAACUAUCUGGCCUAAAGUUCUUUGGUGACUUCCAUUGAUGUUACUGGAUGGCCCAAACUUUUCAAGCCAAUGGUUCAUGGCCAUCAUGAGCUUACCACUGUCUAUCCUCCAUCCUGGCAUUGACUCCCGUCUUCUCAGGCUGGUCAAGUGCAUUUCACUUCUACCCACUCAUUCCUUAAGUUUCCCUCUGUCUCUGUGCCCUCAUACUUGUGACAGAAUGCUUUCUCUUUCCUUAAGAAAAACAGCUAAGUGGGGAAAAGGCGGGACCAACAGCCCCCUGAGCACACUCUUUAAAACAGGUCAAGUGUUGAUUGGUAAGACUAUGACAAAAAGGUGUUGAAGAAGCUGUGGGAAGACAAGAUCACUUCUCUAAAGUGGUGGCCACAUUGUAGGGGCUUUAAUGCUCCACACUGUAGGAGUAUUUUAGGUGCUCCUCCCUGUGUCCCCAGUGAUGACAGAAUCUGGUGGUGCCUCCACACUUCACCCUCUCCUGGGGCAGGAUAUAUGAUUGGGCAUCUUCAAGGGGAUUUGACCUUCAUAUCAUUGGGGAAGGGCCUGGUCUCAACAGAGCUUAAUCAAUAAGCAACCAUAUUCUUUCUCAAUAUGCUAUAGUAUGCUAUAGGUCCAACAUUAUAUACACAUUAUUGUAUAUGGUUACUUUUUAUUUAUUUUUUAUUUUUUGAGACAGAGUCUUGCUCUGUCACCCAGGCUGGAGUGCAGUGGUGUGAUCUCAGCUCACUGCAAGCUCUGCCUCCUGGGUUGAAGCAAUUCUCCUGCCUCAGCCUCCUGAGUAGCUAGGACUACAGGCACCCACCACCACGCCCAGCUAAUUUUCUGUAUUUUUAGUAGAGAUGGGGUUUCGCUGUAUUAGCCAGGAUGGUCUCGAUCUCCUGACCUCGUGAUCCACCUGUCUUAGCCUCCCAAAGUGCUGGGAUUACAGGCAUGAGCCACCGUGCCCAGCCUGUGUAUGGUUACUUUUUAAAUAAUUUAUGAGAAUACAGGAGAAAAAGUAUGCAUUUAUGUAUUUUUUAAAAUAAUUACAUAACUAUCUUUACUGGUUGUGUGUGUGUGUGUGUGUGUGUGUGUGUGUGUGUGUUCAAAUUACUAUACGGAAUCACUUGAUUUCAGCCUGUAGAACUUCCUUUAGUAUUUCUUAUAAGGUGGGUCUGCAAGUAAUAAAUUAUCUGUUUUUGUUUAUCUGGGAAAACCUUUAUUUUUACUUCAGUUUUGAAUAAUACCUUUGCUGGAUAUAGGAUCCUUAGUUGACAGAUUUUUUACUUUGAAAAUUUUGAAUAUGCUAUCCCAUUGUCUUCUGGCCUCCAUCUUUUGUGAUGUGAAGUCAGCUGUCAAUCUUACUAGGAUUCCAUUAUAAGUAAUGAGUCAUUUUUCUUUGCUGUUUUCAUAAUUUUCUCCUUAUCUUUGGCUUUCAGCAUUUUUACUAUGAUGCAUUUGUUUGUGGAUCUCUUUGAGUUUACCUUACUAGGAGUUUAUUGAGCUUUUGGAAUCUGUUGGUUAUUGUUUUUCAAUAAAUUUGAUAUUUUUUUCCACCCUUAUUUCUUCAUAUAUUUUCUUUGGUCCCUUCGGUCUCUCCUCUCUUUCUAGUAAUCCUAAUAAGCAUAUAUGUGUACCUGAUGGUGUUCCACAUUUCAGUGAGGCUCUGUUCAUUUUUUUCUUCAUUCUUUUCUCCUAUUUUUCAGCUUGCAUAACAUCUAUUAAUCUUUUUUUCAAAUUUGCUUCUUCUUUUUUUUCUGCUAGUUCAAACCUGUUGAGUCCCUACAAUAAGGUUUUCAUUUCAGUUGUUGAAUUUCUCAAGAAUUUCCAUUUAGUUAUUUUUUAUAAUUACUCUCUUUAUUGAUAUUCUCAAUUUGAUGCAAUAUUAUUAUCAUACCUUCAUUUACUUCUUUUUUUUUGAGACAGGGUCUUGCUCUGUCAUCCAGGCUGGAGCACAAUGGCAUGAUCAUAGCUCACUGCAACCUCCACCUCUUGGGUUCAAGCAAUUCUCAUGCUUGAGCCUUCUGAGUAGCUGGGACUACAGACAGGUACCACACUGGGCUUUUUUUGUAUUUUUAGGAUAAAUGGGGUUUCUCCAUAUUGACCAGGCUGGUCUCAAAUUCAUGGCCUCAAAAGAUCCACCUGCUUUGGCAUCCCAAAGUGCUUGGAUUACAGGCGUGAGCCACCACACCGAGCCCAUUUACUUCUUUAAUCAAACUUUAUGUCUAACUUAGAGUCUUUUUUUCUGUUAAAUCAUACAACUGGUCACUCUCAAUGACAGUUUCUGCUCACUCCUGCUCACCCCCUGCCCAGUAUAUGGGACAUACUUUCCUGUUACAUGGCACACUUUAUAAUUAUUGUUGUAACUGGACAUUUUAGAUAAUAUACUGUAGCAACUCUGUGUACUGACAAUCCCCCUUGGAGCUUGUUACUAUUAUUUAAUUAUUUGUUUAGUAAUUGGCUGAAUUAUUUUAGUAAAGUCUAUUCACUCCUGUAAGGUACAUGGAUGUGCUUUGGUCAAGGAACAGGCUGAGGUGAAUAUCCAGGCAUGCAUGACUCAGUGAGUUUGGAACACAGGCGCACACCUCCACUUAUUAUACAACUGCUUGUGUAAGUUCAUUCUUGGCUCGAGCCACUAUUGUCUGAUAAAGGUAUAAUUGCCCUGCUGACACUGUGUAUAGAGCUCAACAUGGCUCAUGUGCAAACACUCACACCCAAAGAGAAGGAGAGAGCCAAAGCUGUCCAUCUUGCAGAUGGACAGGAGGGAGCAAGGACACAGCUCAGCUUGCUCAUGCCCAGAGAGAGAAAGAGUUCAGCUGCUGACCUUGAAGGCAGCAGGUUGGUAGGUUGGUUGGUUGGUUGGUUGGUCGGUUUGUUGGUAGGUUGGUUGAUUGGUAGGUUGGUAGGCUAGUAAUUACUGCUAUUACUAUUACAUCUGUCAUUUUUUUUCUUUCCCUUGGCACACUUAUUUUUAAAUGAUGCAGACUUUGUGUCCUCCUGCAGCAGUAGACUUCCCGUCUCCUUUAAAACUUUUUCAAAGGGAAAAGGGGGAAGAUGGGCUUGUGGCUCCACAGAGAAGUCAGCUGUAGAUGCUGCCUAAUGCCAAACGCCAGCUCCCUUAGACUCAGUCACUGCGGACACCCCUGCAGCACUUGGCAAUGACUAUUCCCUCUUUCAGAGUUGCCUCUUUUGGGAUCCAGGACCCUGCACUCUCCUGUUUUUCCUUCUACUUUCUGGCAAUUCUUCUCUUUAAGCAUCCUUUGUGGGCUCCUCUUUUUUUCUGUCUGGUCCUCUUCAAUUUCCCUCCUGCCAAGACUUGGUGGUCCACAGGGUCCUGCCCUCUGCUGUCUUCUCUUCUCUGCACAGUUCAUCAGCCUCUAAGAGCCCCACAGUGCAGGUAAGCACUGAGGAUAACAUAAGUCACACAGGUGUGUAUGCUUUGUAAGGUAUACAGGGGAGUCACAUCAUGCAUGCAUUUGACUGUUUAUGCACAGCAAAGCAAAAUCUAAACAAUGUGUAUGUGCCCAGAAAGAACAAGAUGAGAGGUGACAAUCUGUCAUGUGCCAGGUUAUCUCAGGAUGCAUCAGGCCCCCAGGAGGCACCAUUUUUGACUGAAUAUAGUUGAGAUAAGGGUGUGCCACACAGCCUACCCAAGCCAAACUACUGCUCAACUCAUGAAGCAGCAAGCUCCUUAGAUGUGAGGGGGAAAGUUGCCUGCAUUGGCAUGAUUCAGAGAAAUCUACCUCUGUGUCAUCAGAACUUACAGGUGAUAUAAGGAACCCCACAGCCUGUAAUUUUGGCUCUUUGAGAUGACUUGAGACCUUAACCCAGAAUAAGAUGAAACACCUCCCACCUAGUCCCAUAGAUGAUCAGAAAUUGUGAUAGUACAGGAAAGAUGAAAACAGCAAAUCUGAAGUUUUGACUAAAAGAGUAUGGGGAAAGGAUCUUACUCAGAAUCGAGGUUUCUUUUAAAAGAUAGUUGUGAGUUGAUUAUUAUCCUGAGCUACUUAUUCAGAUCACUCUUAUUUCCAGCCCGCAGGUGGAAAUUCCUGUGGGUCCCAACAUCCUACCCACAACCAAGAGCAACUGUGUUAUUUCUGUGAGGUCCAGACAUAAAUGUACCUCUUCUCUCUGCAUUUUUUCUUACCUUUGUGUUUAUAUUUUUAAGUUUGGAAAUGCUCUAUUACCUCAGGAUGCACUAGGCCAAAUUAACAGAACAUGCAAGGCUGACAAAAAAAAACAAACAAGGCAAUCAACGAAUGCUAAGUGAACCACAAAGAUGGCUUUUCUCCUUAGGGGCAUGUUGGCUUGAAAGAAAGUUGUACCAUAUUCUGGAAACAGGAAUAAAAUAACUCUUCAAAACUCCCAGACUAGAACUCAGGUGCUGAGAAAGAGGUUUAUGCUUAGGGGAGAAAAAAGAAACUAAGCUCCAGAUAUUUAUGCUAAGUAAGAUUAGGGCAAUAUGGUUUCACAAAAAUACACUGAUGGGAAUAGAGUAUGUCUAGUACAUUGGUAGUCUUCUGCUGUAUGAGAUGACUCCUCAAAUCACUUUCUGUACCAGCCUUCAAAAAGAUAGGCCAGAAUCCCAGAGGUUCAAAAGUUAGUCUGUUUGAAAAGAUAAAGGGGAAGUCAAAAGGUCUGAGAACCAAGAAAGCUGAUGGUGUAACUCACAGUUUGAGGCCAAAGGUCUGAGAUAUUGGAGGCCACUGAUGUAAGUCCUAGAGACUGAAAGGCCUAAGAACCUGGAGUCCUGAUGUCCAAGGGCAGAAAAUGGUGCCCAGCUCAAGGAGAGAUAACAAAUUUGCCUUUCCUAUGCCUUUUGGUUCUAUCUGGGUCUUGAUGAAUGGGAUGGAGCCAUUCACAUUGUGGGAGGGUGGAUCUUUACUCAGUCACUGAUUCAAAUGCCAGUCUCUGCCAGAAACAUGCUCACAGACGCACCCAGAAAUAACACCUCACCAGCUAUCUGGACAUCCCUUAACCCAACCAAGUUGACACCUGAAAUUAACUAUCACAUAUAGUUCCACAGGUGAGAAGGGGUGAGAAAAUUAAAAGCCAAUGUUGUCUUCUUGAUUCAAAGAAAUAACAGGCAAAUCAUAGAAACGAAAGACUGUGGCUAAAAUAGAGUUAUAGCUUAGUGUUUUUACAAGAUUUGAAUUUAAAUACUUUUGGGGUGUGAACCCCAAAAAUUUGAGAUAGGUCUCAGUUAAUUUAGAAAGUUUAUUUUGCCAAGGUUGAGGAUAAGCGUCAACUGACACGUACUGACAACAUGUGCCCAAGGUGGUCAGAGCACUGUUUGGUUUUAUACAUUUUAGGGAGAUACGAGACAUCAAUCAACAUAUGUAAGAUGAACAUUGGUUCAGUUUGGAAAGGUAGGACAACUCAAAGCAGAGUUGGGAGAACUCAAAGCAGGGAAGGGACUCCCAGGUCAUAGGUAGAUAAGAGACAAAUAGUUGCAUUCACUUGAGUUUCUGAUUAGCCUCUCCAAAAGAGGCAAUCAGAUAUAUAUUUAUCUCAGUAAGCAGAGGGUGACUUUGAAUAGAAUGGGAGGCAUGUUUGUCCUAAGCAGUUCCCAGCUUGACUUUUCCCUUUAGCUUAGUGAUUUUGGGGCCCCAAUAUUUAUUUUCCUUUCACAGAUGGUAAAAAAACUAAUGAAAAUUAAAUAACUCCUUCACUCCAAAUUAUCUUCUGUUCAUUGUUGAACAAUGAGUGCACAGAUACAAUUACUAAUAAUAUUGUUUUCUUAAUUUUUUGCUUAACAUUAUCUCAUACGGCAUUUACACGAUUAUAUGAUUGACUAUUUAAUCUUUUUUUUUUUUUUUUUUUUUGAGACAGAGUCUCGCUCUGUCACCCAGGCUGCAGUGCAUUGUUGCAAUGUCGGCUCACAGUAACCUUCACCUCCUGGGUUCCAGAGAUUCUCCUGCCUCAGCCUCUGAGUAGCUGGGAUUACAAGUGCCUGCCACCACACCCAGAAAAUUUUUCUAUUUUUAGUAGAGACAGGGUUUCGCCAUGUUGGCCAGGCUGGUCUCGACCUCCUGACCUCAAGUGAUCUGCCCACCUCAGCCUCCCAAAAUGUUGGAAUUAUAGGUAUGAGCCACCGCGCCCAACCAGCAUUACUUUAAUAUUGGACAUUGCAGUUUUAAUUUUUUCUUUAAUAAGUUAUACAUAACUUUCUUUUGGGAUUUUCCUUUAAUUUUUUUUGUACGUGCCAUACAGUUCAAAUGACAUAAACAGUUUUCCUUUAUAUAGUGCUAGACUUCCUCUCAGAAACAUUAAUGUUACUGAGAAUGUACAAACAUGCCUCCAUGUUUACAAACAUGUUAUUUUAUCACUCUUACUUACAUGUGCUAGUUUAGGGAAUAAUUGUUCAUAAUUUCUAGUUAUUCUCUUUUCUAUUUCUUUAUUCCUCCCUGGGAAGGCUGUGAGUCCGAGGUACUAGUUGGGAGUGCAUCAUUUUCUCCUCUUCACAGAAAAGCCAUUCUCCUGCAACUGGGGAGGCCAUUGACCUGGAAGGAGUCCAUGGCUUCAAGAAUGAGUAUGAGCCCAUUUCAGCCCCCAUCCCAAAGUCUCCAUGCCCUUGUGAGUCUCACUGGUGCUGCUCCUCCGUCUGGUGCUAUUCCUGGACCAAACUGAGGAUCGGACGGCUAUUUCUGGUUGCCCAAUAAUAAGAUGCAGAUGAACUGCGGAGGAAGUGAGUUUUUAUUUCUGUAACCAGUUACAUGGAGAAGGCCUGGAAAAUAUCUCCAGACCAACUCAAAAUUACAAAGUCUUCCAGAGCUUAUAUAUAUUCUAAGCUAUAUGGCUAUGUGUAAAUGUGCAUUCAUCUAAAGACAUAAGUGAUUAACUACUUUAAAUCUAUAACCAAGAUCCGAGUCUUGAAGACCUCCCCCUGGAGCCUCAGUAAAUUUACUUAAUCUAAGUGGAUCCAGGUGCUGCGGUGAUUACCCUUAUUUUGUCUCCUGCUAAAUUAUGGAGAUUUGGGGAGUUCCUUCACAGGACCUGAACACAGUUCUGUUUGUUUGAUGAUACUCACCACUAUCCUGGAGACGGACAACAGAAGCACCUGGACGGGCUCUGUUCAUUUGGUGAUGCUCACACCAUCCAGGAGACUGAGAGCAGCAGCACCUGGACAGACUGGCCAGGGCCUGAGAUCUUCCACAGCCUGGUUCCCAGCUUGUCACAACUUAUAGGAGGAAAACAGGCCCCUUACAGCAGCACACUUAUGACAGGGUAGACCUUUUACUUUCUGGAAUGUUUUGUAAAGUUUAUGGAAUAAUCAGAAAAUGUAGAUUUGCCUGUUUCCUGAAUUUUUUUUGUUCUGUGGCACUCAUAUUAUUUAAGGUGAAGAAAGCACAGAGUGGAGGCAAAGAUAGGACACAAAAGACAUAUUUGUCAGCAAUACCCAAUGCAGUCGUUUUCAGUUUAAAUUCUUAGAGUUUUUAGACAAACUAUUAUUGAGAAGCCCAAUGUAUAAGACUUAAGAAAAUAUAAAAGGGCUGGGACCCUAGAGUCCUGCUACCUCACUCCUCUGAGCCCUGAUGGUUUCUCAGGGAAGAGUUUGAAAACCACAAUCCUGUUGUUUUCCUUUUUAUCUUUCAUUUUAAAUAUAAUUGUUUAGAAUUAUGUUAACCCAUUUUAUUUUGGUUGUGAAAAGAUAAUGAACUAAUGACUAAUAGUUGACUAUCCAGUUCAACUAUUUCACAGAUAACUUUGCCAAAUUCACAGAGUUUGUCAGUGAUAAAACUGGACCUGGGACCCAGGUUCCCUGACGUGCAGCCACUGAAUAUCCCACAAUUCCUGAUGUCCAUUAGCUUUGACUGAAAAAAAAAACAUAUAAUUUAUUGGGAAAAAGACCAUAGUAAACUCCAGUUUUAGUCAUCUCUAUUUCAAAAUUUGUAAUUGUGUCUUCGCUGUAGUUAUAAAUUCAUCUUAGUGGUUUGUUGGUUGUAUUAUACUUUUGUUGAUAUGCUUUUCUGAUCUUCAUUAAGAUGAUGGCCAGUCAUAGAUUAUUGUUUACAGCCAACACCAUAAUUGUCUAUUUUAAUAAUGGUAAAUAAUGAAACCCAGUGCAAAUCUGUCAAAGCACAGGCCAUUUGACCCAGCCUUGCAACCCCCAUAGCUACAUUUUCAGUCACGUGGACUGACAGGUGGUUACACUUCACACUGAAUAUACACAAAUGCAUGACUGACACUUCCCAUUUGGGCCUCCCAGGGUGACUUGUUCUGGUUUUCACCUUCCCCACUUGAUCUUAUGUAGUAAGGAGGCAAGAAAUGCCCAAGCAACUCAAAUUCUGUUUUACCAGUUUGAACCAUAACUAUUGAGACAGACUGAAGUGUUUGAAGGAAUGACAUAGAAGGUCUAUGGAUUUUUGGGUGGUGCAUGUGAUGUCAUCAAAUUAGAUUCCUCCCUUGUGUGUCCAUAGACCUGUGCUUUAAAAGACCUUUCAAAUGGAGAAAAACAAAAACCAUGGGUGGAGAUGCUGAGAAACAGCUCUGCUCAAACAGGCUUCCAUCCCUGCUGCACAGCUCUCCCAGCCUCUUCCCUGCUCUGUUCUCAAGGUCUUGGCCCUCAGCUCAACAACUCAUUCUUGCAAGAGUCGGCUGAAUAAUUAGCAAUGCCAAACAGAGUGAGUCAUGGGAGGUAGCUGCUUCUCAGGAAUAUCUGUGUUCUGACAUAUACGUAUAUUUGUUUUUCUUUUUUUUUUUUUGAGAUGGAGUCUCACUCUGUCACCCAGGCUGGAGUGCAGUGGCAUGAUCUCAGCUCACUGCAACCUCUGCCUCCCAGGGUCAAGCGAUUCUCCAGCCUCAGCCUCCCAGGUAGAUGGGAUUACAGGUACCCACCACCACGCCUGGCUAAUUUUUGUAUUUUUAGUAGAGACAGGGUUUCCACCAUAUUGGUCAGGCUGGUCUCGAACUCCUGACCUCAUGUGAUCUGCCUGCCUUGGUCUGCCACAGUGCUGGGAUUACAGGCAUGAGCCACCAGGCCCAGCCAGAUAUGUUUUUAAAUAGUGGUAAUACAAAGCUUUUAAAUUCCAUUGUGCAAAUCUCUAACAUGAUGGCAGGUGUAGAAAUUGAUAUCUCAGUGCAGAGAGCCUGUGAAACAUAGUAGUGCUAGCCCAAGCUCACUGCAAGUGAAGGUGGGGAAGUCAUAACCCAGUACAGAAGAGUUAGACUAUGGGUAAUGAGGUUUCUGCAGAACCUCCAAGAUAAUGCAGAGAAAUUCAGUUAAGAGCAUUGGGGAUUUACCUGUAUACAGGUAUAUGCUGAGAGAGGUCCCAGUGAGGACAACUUCUCCACCAUGGUCUCACACUCCUGAAAGCAAACCCAUGAGGUAUGAUGAGGGAAAGUGGUUUGUUCAAAUAGGUCUUUGGUUUGUCAGUUUAAAACUGGUUACCACAGAGUUCAGUGUGGGUCCCCUGCUGGAACUUUAGUCUGUCUGUGGAUUUUAGGGACUGGCUGAAACUUCACAUUUAGAAAGUCAAUCCAGAUGAUACGGUUGAGUCACAGACCACAAGCAGUCAUGUCGGGCUGUUUCUAUGCUGACCCUGAUCAGCUCUCUGAGUGUGGCUAUUGUUCACGGCCCUGACCACUUGGUUUGUGUAAUUUCUUGCACCCUCUGGAUUAAAAAUUCUGAGAAUCCAUAAUUUCAUUAAACUCAGGUUUUAUCCUAUCCAAGAUUUGUUCCAAAUGACAGCAUGCUGGAGUCAUGCUAGGACAUGCUAGUCAAUGCUGGGGCUAGAGUGACUCACUGCUGCCUUGUGCUCCCCUCCUUCCUGUGUUGGGGGCUCCACUUUUACCCCUGUCCUGUUCCCACAUCCCAAACUCCCACCUGGCACCUAACUGUUCAAGGGAUCACAAUCAGGGCAUGUCUCCCACAUGGCUUCAGAUGCAAAAAAUUAACCCCCCCACCAAGUAAAAGCAUAUUGACCUCACAUUUCAUUUUCCAAGAGCUCAGUCUUUUGCUAAAUAAUUGGAGAUCAAGUUUCUGGCAAUUAACAAAUACAAAGGCAUUACUAAUGGAAACUCUUAAUAUAUGACCACCUCCUAAACUUUUUUACGUUUUGAAAGAAAAAUUCCUGGGACAAAUGUCUAAGCCCCAAAGAAAUAGCUCUCCUGAGUUGCAUAUUGAGGCACUCAGGCAGAACUGAUAGAGGCAUCAUUGUUAAUACAGUAACAACAGAUACAAAUCCCGGAGUACUAAUUACGUGUCAGGCCCUAUACUAAGUGCUUCUUAUGUAAUAUAUCAGGAAAUUAUCAUGAGAAGCUUAUGAGGCAGAUAUUAUUAUUCCUGUUUGUACAGAUAGAAAAAAAGAUGCCCAACAAUGUUAAGUAGACUGCAUAGGUCAUACAGCUAACAAAUGGCAGAAUUGGGCCAAACAUUUAACAUCCACAUGUUAGUGUCUUUUAGCAAGAGAUUUUCUACAGAGAAGUCAAAUUAGAUCACAGGUAUUUGCCUCUUGUGCUUAAACAGGCUCUUAUCAGGGCUAGCCUUUGGCUUUUUUCCAUGAGAACAUUUUACUGAGUUUAUUUUGUUUUCUUGAUCUACAAUGCCUAGGAACUCUAAGAACUGGGGAUGGAAAGAAAGUCCACUCCCUGAGAUGAUUUCUUGUCACCUUUUGGCUACGUCCUGGAUCUCAGAACCAGGCCUGCUUUUCCUGGCUAUACAUGGCAAAUCCAACUGGGAAAUUUAAAUUUUUGUUUUAUGUUUGAGAAACAGGACCUAAUAUGAAUGUUUGUUCUAGUUGUGUUGACUUAAUGCUGAUAGAGUUAAAUUUGAGCUCUCAGGAUCUAUUUUUGUACUCUUUGUCAAACGUGUUCCUUCUCCAUUGGUCUCCAUUGGCUUGCAGUAGUGGUGCUGCUCUGUGUCUAUUUCACACCUUACAGCUCCAUUUAUUAAUGCCUUCAGAAUCUUCUUUAUGUGCCUUCUAUUUUCUUUGUGUGAUGCGUGGGGCAGAGUCAGCUCUGGCUAAAAUGUCAGAACGAAGAAUCCUUAGUGCAGCUCAUGUAUCCAUGCUGAGUAAAUGCCAAGAGUGGCUGUGAACCUUCCCUUGACUCUCCUCCACAGCUGCCACUCAACCAAGACCCUGCAUUCUAAGGGUGGUCAGUCUGUUAGUCACAUGGAACUAAUGCACAAGAAGAUUGGAUGGAUUGAUGAGAAGCUAAACUUUCCCAAUAAUAUUUACAUUUUUAAAGAGGGAAUAUGUCACAAUAAAUGAGCUCCUGCCUGAUAAACAUCCUGCCUAAAACCCUUCCAACCUAUUGUUGCUUUGCUUCAAGAAGAAUACAAUGAUUGGUGGAGCUUGAGGCAAAGCGACAAAGCUUGAGGAAAGGUUUUAGGCAAGAUGUUUAUACUUCUCUUGUACUUCUCAAGUUAGUUAUUGUACUUUUCCACUCCAGAAUUUCUGUUUCUUAAUAAUUUCAAUCGCGUGAUAUUUUCUAUUUGGUAUGACAUUAUUCUCAUACUUUCCUUCAGUUCUUUAAGAAUUUUUUAAAAUUUCUUUGAGUAGAUUUGGAAUAUCUGGUUUAAAGUCUUUCAUGAGUAAGUUCAUCAUGUGAGCUUCCACAGGGACACUUUCCAUUGAUUGCUUUUUUCUCCUGCAUAUGGGCUGUACUUUCUUGUUUCUUUUUGUGUCUUGCAAUUUUUUCUUAAAAAUUGACAUUUUAAAUAUUAUAGUGUGAAAACCCCAGGAAUCAGAUUUUGCAACCUCCCCAGGGUUUGUUAUUGUUGCUGGGGCAUUUUUUGGUAGCUUUUAUUGUUUGUUUACUGACUUUAAAGAAAUAAUUCUGCCAAGUCUGUAUUCUCUUUCGUAUAUGAGCACUGAAGUCUCUACUUGGCUAGCUUAAAGGUCAGAUAAUGAAUGGAUAGUGAUUUCCUUAAGUGCUUGGAACCAAUAAGUCUGUCACUAUUUCCUGAGGGGGUCUGUAUGAGUGAUGGGGCACACUUCAAACAUUAGUAAGUAAUGAACAAUUCUGCCUUAGCCUUCCCUUGCUGUUUGCUCAACAUAUUAACGUCAGCCCAAGAUGAGAGUUGAGGCUUUCUCAUGUCUUUCUGAGUAUGCACUUGUUAAAAGAAAAACCUUAGACAAAUUUAAUUUAACAAAAUUUAAUUGAGCAAAGAAUGAUUCAUGAAUCAGGCAGCCUCCCAAACCACAGCAGGCUCAGAGAGACUCCAGCACAGCCAUGUGGCAGAAGAACAUUUAUGGGCAGAAAAUGGAAGGUGACAGACAGAAAACAGAAGUGAAGUUCAGCAACAGCCAGAUUGAUUACAGCUUAGAGUUUGCCUUAUUUGAACACAAUUUGAACAGUUGGCCCACUUUAAUUGGCCAAAACUUGGUGAUUGGCACAAGAAUAGGCUAGUCUGUUUAUAUAUCCAGUUAGGUUUCAGUUUACUGUGUAUAGAAACCUUAAGGGUGAACUUAAAAUAUAUAAGGAGGCAGCUUUAGGCUAAGCUUAAUUUAACAAAUUCCCCCUUUUGAUCAUCCCCUUGAUUUUGAGAGAUUGCCGAAAACAUUAGUAAUUGACGUCACUAUCAUCAAGUAAAUGUACUGAUUUGGUCUUGAAAUCCACUGAAUAAUAGCAGAACAGAGGGUUUUGUAAGGUAGGUAGAAGGACAUCAAGUUAUUUUUUUUGGUAAGGGUUAGAGCAGAGGGUACUUCCUUGUGCUUGACUCUCCUGUUUACAGGAGAGAAACAAAACCUGGUCGGUUAUAGGACCUAUCUCUUUCCUUAAAGUCUUAGUUAAAUUAUGCCAUAUGUAGUAUGAGUGACUCCAUUUUGGUUUGGUCUGGUCUGUUGGGGCCUAGUGUAUGAGCUCAGUUCAAAACAAUGGCCUCCCAUAAUUUUGUUUAAGAAUUACACCCUUUUUGUCAGGUUCUCACUUAGGUGAGAGUAUGACUGGUACGAUUUGGCUCUGUGUCCCCACCCAAAUCUCAUGUUGAAUUAUAAUUCCCAAUGUUGGGGGAAGGACCUGGUGGGAGGUGGGAUUGGAUCAUGGGGAUGGAUUUUCCUCUCAUUUUUCCUGUGAUAGUGAGUGAGUUCUCAUGAGACCUGAUGGUUUAAAAGUGUAUGUCACUUCCCCCUUUGCUCUCUCUCUCUCCUGUUGCCAUGUGAAGAUGUGUUUGCUUCCCCUUCACCUUGUGCCAUGAUUGUAAGUUUCCCGAGGUCUCCCCCACCAUGCCUUCUGAACAGCCUGCAGAACUGUGAGUCAACUAAACCUCUUGUAUUUAUUAUUUAUUUAUUUAUUUAUUUAUUUAUUUAUUUUUUGAGACAGAGUCUCGCUCUUUCAUCCAGGCUGGAGUGCAUUGGCAGGAUCUUGGCUCACUGCAACCUCCACCUCCCAGCUUCAAGCGAUUCUCCUGCCUCAGCAUCCCAAGUAGCUGGGACUAUAGGCAUGCGCCACCACACCCAACUAAUUUUUGUAUUUUUAGUAGAGAUGGGGUUUCACCAUGUUGACCAGGAUGGUCUCGAUCUCUUGACCUCAUGAUCUGCCUGCCUUGGCUUCUCAAAGUGCUGGGAUUACAGGCAUGAUCCACCGCACCUGGCCAAACCUCUUUUCUUUAUAAACUACCCAGUCUCAGGUAGUUUUUUUGUAGCAAUGUGAGAACAGACUAAUACAAUGACCAAAACCUGAGGCUUUAGUGCCACUCUCAGUUACCAUCAUUUUGGAUUUCUAGUCUGAACACAUCAUUCAUACGUUACAGUGCCCUCAUGGUCACACAUUUAUUUGAGCUCUUGUCAUUCCAGUGGAAGAGAUACCAUUUGACAUUCUUGAGAUGCCUGCAUGCAAGUAUUUAAAACUUUUGAGAGAAUACAGAGUACUAGGGAGACUACUAUUAUGACUAUCAGGAGGAUAAUACCAAGAGUUUGCAGUAUGCUCCUUAGCUAGGGUCCCCAUGAAUCAAACAAACUAAACAAGUUGAUCAAAAAGUGAGAUAGACAAAGAGCCACUCACUUUAACCAAGCAGUCUGUUCAUUAAUCUCCUACAACUGAAUCUCUAUAGUACCCAAUGUAUUUCUCCAUGUGCAAAAAGAAGUGCCAGCAACUACACAGAUUCUUCCUUGCCUAGCCAGUAAGUGAUCCAGAAUGAUUCUAUUUUUUAUUAUUUAUAUUAUUUAUCCUUUAGCAUAACUUUCACAAGAGAAUUUAAGAUCUGUUGUCUAGCCAUAGCCUUUACAGUAGAAUCUGCUAUAGGGCCUAUCAGGAGGGAUAAAUUUCUAAUCAUUGUCUCAUUUACUCCAAAUCAUAGAAAAAGAAACCUCAUAAAUUAUGCCUAUCUAGAAGGGCAAAGUCUCCUGACAAUGUUCUCUUUAACCUAUGAUGUAGGUUAAAAUGAGUGAACCAGUGUUCUCUUUCUGACUGAUGAUGAGGCAACAAAUGUACAAUUAAAAUUUCUCACCUACGUUGACCCUUCAUCUUUCUUCUAAAAGGCAUAAGAUUGUUCAUGUAUAUGGCUGGAUGCAAAAUCAUUCACAAAUAAAACUAUAGCAGCUGAGUGCACACCAAUGACACCUUUUUCACUUUUAUUGUUCACGGGGGAAUAAGAAAAAAAUGGAAAGUUAAGAGUCUGAUGAUGGCAGACAAGUCUUGAUCCAUGAUGUUGUGAAAAAGCUGUCUGUAUCAAGGAUGCUGUCUGCUUCUGGGGAUAAACUUCCCUGGUUAGAUUUACCUUAAGGUUUCCAAGGGGUGAACAGUUCCAAGAAUGUGGAGGGGGCCUUCUGAACUGUGAGAUUAUGAACCCAAGGUUCCAGGUCCUGAAAUUUUGCUGCAAUGAGGAUGGCAAGGGCAUCUGAACUGUGACAUUAUGAACCCAAGGUUCAAGGUCCUGAAGUUUUGCUGCAAUGAGGAUGGCAAGGGCAUCUGAACUGUGACAUUAUGAACCCAAGGUUCAAGGUCCUGAAGUUUUGCUGCAAUGAGGAUGGCAAGGGCAUCUGAACUGUGACAUUAUGAACCCAAGGUUCAAGGUCCUGAAAUUUUGCUGCAAUGUGGAUGGCAAGGGCAUCUGAACUGUGACAUUAUGAACCCAAGGUUCAAGGUCCUGAAGUUUUGCUGCAAUGGGGAUGGCAAGGGCAUCUGAACUGUGACAUUAUGAACCCAAGGUUCAAGGUCCUGAAAUUUUGCUGCAAUGUGGAUGGCAAGGGCAUCUGAACUGUGACAUUAUGAACCCAAGGUUCAAGGUCCUGAAGUUUUGCUGCAAUGUGGAUGGCAAGGGCAUCUGAACUGUGACAUUAUGAACCCAAGGUUCAAGGUCCUGAAGUUUUGCUGCAAUGGGGAUGGCAAGGGCAUCUGAACUGUGACAUUAUGAACCCAAGGUUCAAGGUCCUGAAGUUUUGCUGCAAUGGGGAUGGCAAGGGCAGUCUUUAUCUGAUGUUGUUUUUAGAAGACCCAGUCUCUAAGUUCUAGAUUGUGAAAGGUUUGAUUGUCCUCGGUCAGUGGACCAUAAAAAAGAUUUCUUUACCUGGUGAAAAUACAUCUUGACAUAAUGCAUUAAAGCCUUGCAGCAUUUAGUUAUAUCAGGGUUCAGUAGUGGAAGAUAAAUGACGUUGUAUUAUUAGGGGAAUAGGUCUUCCAGUGACUAUUUUGUAAGGUAUCACCUUAUGGUUUACACUGGAAGUGGAUCUGAUUGCCAUUAAUAUAAAAUACCUUCGACCAAAGCAAUCCAGUCAUUUCAGUUAGCUUUACCAAAUGUUGUCAUAUUUAUAAAACCUUAUUUAACUGCUUUAAAACUUAUCCAGUGAAACAAGUACUUCCAUCACUGGAGAUUUCUCCAGGAAUGUCCCAUGGGGAAAACACAUUUUCUAAUAACCUUUUAGCUACUGUUAUAGAAUUAGCCCUCUUGCAUGGAAAAGCUUUCAUAGAACCAGAAAACAUGCAUUGAAAAUGACAAUUGAAUGAAAUCCCUCUGUAAAUGUUUAAAUGCCCGAUCAUAAACAGAAAUGUACCUGCAGUUUUGAUUGUCCUCUUAGGAAUAAGAAUUUAGCAAACCAAACAUUGGUCAUCAACUAUUUUAGCAACUUAGAAGAGUCACCAAACCAAUAUAUAUAUUUUUAAUUUGGAUCAUUUUAUUUCUUCAAUGAUGAGUCAUGGAAUGCAGAGAUUUUAAUAACAAAAGCUUUAAGGACUCAGGAAGAUGAAGCAGCUGUUCUCCAGGAGCCCACACUUAACAUUGGACUUAUAUUCUCUUAAAUACUGAUUGUUUCUCCAAUUUAGGUGCAUAGCACUGAUAACCAAUAGAUUAUCAUAGGUAAUUUGACUUUCACCAUGGAGUUCAUUUAAAUUGCAUGUCUUAACAAUUUCAGUACUAGCUGAUUUAGCAGGAACAUCUGGCAAAAUAUUUUCUUGGUAUUCAAUUAGUUUUUUUCCUGCCUGGCUUAGUAGUUUUAUAAACCAGCCAGUCUCUUCAUUAGAGUUCCAGGAAUUUUUACCCAAUCCAAAUGAUGUGGUCCUAAAGUUAUUAGAAACUUGUGUUCAAGAGCAUGUGUCAGGGUUCUUCCCAUCCUUUCAUGAAUCUCUUUAAAGACACCAUAUUCUAGGAUUUUAUGUGCUUGUGAAGUUUUAAGAAACUGCAUCAGAAUUAAGCAAUUAACUGUGGAAAUGACUUUAAAUGGUCAUAAAGACAAUUGAAAAGGAAAUUUGGUUAUUUCUGUGGUUUACAAUAACUCAACAUAAUAACCAGAAUUAUGACCGAUAGCAUAUACCCAGACAUAUUAGGAUUUUAGAAAUCCCAUAUAACUUUGGAACAUAUAUUAAUAACAUAUUCUUUAAGAUAUAACUUAAGAAGGUUAAACCAUCCUUUCUUGUUUGACAAUGCUUCCCAUGUAAUUUCACAUGUCAAAUAAUCCUGUUUAUCUCCCUUAUGGAUGCUUCAGGGGACCUUCAUAGCAUCCCAAAGUUAAAAGGUCAAAAAAGACUUAAUUUUGAAGUUGAAAUUUGAUUUUUAGGAAGCCAAUCAAAUAUGUCAAAGUUUUAAAACACAUUACCAAAAUAAGAUCACAAGUCACCGUAAAAUAAUAGUCAUUCAUUUAGCCAAAGUGAUAAUUAAAAGAUUUUUUAAACAAAAACCUGUACUCUUUGAGAGAGGAGACUUAGCCAUACUUCCUGUACAGCCUGUGAACCACGAGCCAAUUAAACCUUUCUUCUGUAUAAAUUACUCAGUCUCAGAUAGUUCUUUAUAGCAAUGGAAGAAUGGACUAAUACAGUGAGCUAAUACCUAAAUGACCUUCAUGAAUUUUGUUGAAAGAAACGGCUUGGAAACUAUCUGAUCAGCAUGAGAUUUGUCACUCAGUCAUCUCAGUCACUUUCCUGGAUCAAUAUUUGUAUUUUGAAUUUGCUGUUAGUGUGCAGAGGCUGCACCUCCAUCCCAAGUGCAUCUGAAGGCAGUUCCCUCUGACCAACGAACACAUGUGGAAGUUGAGAAUCUAGAAAAUGACUCCCUUAAAACUAUUCAUGUCCCUGGAAGGUCUUCCCAUAUCCCCAACAACAUGCAUUCUCAUUUGAAGACCACUGACUAUUCCACAGCAUAAAUCAGCCAACAUGAUUUGUUGAGUGAUCAUGAAGUGCUGUAGAUUUCAGAUAUCACCAGCCCCACCCACUGGGAUUCAAGCUGACUACUCAUUAAAUGUCCUCUUUGAUUCACUUUACCUUUCCCUGUGGAAGAACUUGUUUAGGCCCGUUUACUAAAUCCUGAUGUAAGUCAACACCAAAUUAGAGAAAAUCACACUUUUCAAAAAAAAAAAAAACUUUAGAUUGAUUCUCAAAUGCCAAGUUUGAAAUUUUCCAUAACACAAAAUAAUUUGGAAGUCUGAUUAAAGUGAGUAGGAAUGAUGCAAAAUCAUUAAGUCCAAUUAUUAUUAUUAUUAUUAUUAUUAUUAUUAGAUCAUUUCACUGUAGGACAGUUACUCCAUAGCUAGUGUUUCUUAGGGAAAGCAUCUUUUAACCUCAGAGUACAUCUCACAAAGCAAUGAUAUGCCUUUGAAAAGCAAUGCUAAAUAGACAUUUUACAAAUGGAAUCAUGCUGUCCACACAUUAGGCAAUUUAUUAUUAGAGCAAUCCUAAGAUUUUUUUAAAAUAAAGAGAUGCCCUAUGCUGAAUGAAAAAGCUAAUACUUUAAUAUGCUUUCUUGUCAAAUGUUCAUUUUCAUAUAAAGGGCUUUCUUGGCAGGGGUUGCUGGGGAGCUGGACACAGCUGUCUCAUUUUACUGCUGCUUGCCUUACUGUGUUUUGCCUUUUCUUUCAAUGUACAAAACUGUGCACUCUUUUCUUAGCUCUGGUAGAGGGCUCAGCAAUUAGCCUAUGAAAGGCUAUUACAAAUUUUCAAAUCAUAAAAUGUAUGCUACACUGACCAUGAUGACUGAUGUAAAAUAUACUUUAAGCUGUCUCAGGAUUUUGAGUCUUAUUCAUUGGAACAUAAAUGAGCAGAGCAAUGAUAAAAGAGAUUAUUAUGGUUGAUAAAGUGUCAAUUAAAAGUCUUUAAUAUGCUUCUUCUAGGAGAUCAUUAGCUAUUAAUUCAAUCAUUUGCUAAUGCAAUACAAACCUUUCCUGACUUGUGGCUGUCUUGUGUAGGCUAUGUACUGAUGUGAAGUUGCUUGUACUUGGCCUUCACUACUCCAUGCACAAUAUAUGAUAUUGGAAUUAUCUCUUUGAGCUGAGGGAUGUUUUAUUACCCUGAUUGUGCUCACCACUCUUGUCUUCCCCAGUACAUGAGAAAUCUGAAACAUUUUCUAUGUUAUUAAGUCAGUGUCACUUGUGGAUGGUUGUGACUCCCCAUCCUCACUCCAAUUCUCAUAGAUGGAAACAGAAUUUGUAUUUAUGCAUCAGCCAAUAGCUCUCCUUCAGCAUUUUGCAUAUUUAAAUAAAUGUGGUUCUGAUCAUUUCUUUUUUUGAGAUCAUUGCAGAUGUGUCUGAUGAUGCCACACAUAACAAAGAGAAUACUUGACUGAGAUAAUCUUAUUUCAGAAGGCUGGCUUGUUAAUGGGUAUCUGUAACUACGACCUGAAAAUACAGUCAACAAGAAAGAAAACCUCUGCCUUGCACAAACAUAUAUGUCUGAAUGCGUGAAAUUUAAACUGCCUUUUAAGUGACUGUUAUUUAGUACCAGUUAGCUAGAUGACCCUCCCUGGGGUUGGAGCAUCAUUAGGUAUCAGCCUGAGGAAAUGAAGUGCGAGGUAGAUCCGCUGACAGGAGGUCAUGAGAGAGCUAAAUAAUUUUUAAAAAAUGGAAGUGUCUUCUGGUACCUAAGCUGAGAGACUGAGUGUGGGAGGCUGUAAAGCAACUGGUGGCUAAAGCCAACAUGAGCAAAGCCGAGGAGUCUUUAGUUCAAGAAGAAGGACCAGGAACUUGAAGGUGAUGAUCCCUGGUCUCUCCAUCAAGGGCAUCCUGUAGUCAGCUUGGUCAAAGAAGCUUGGCUGUGUGCUGUGUUUCAGUGUCCCCUCCAGAGUUUGUGUUGAAACAUACUUGCCAUUGUAUCAGAAUUUACAGAAAGUGGGACCUUUAAGAGAUGAUUAGGUCAUGAAGGCUCAUGAAGGUAAUGAAUGCAUUAAUACUGUUAUUAUGAGAGUGGAAUCCCAAUAAAAGGAAAAGUUCAGCCCAAUUUCCUCUCUCUGUCUCAUGCAUUCACUUCUGCUUCUACCCUUGCCACAUGAGAUGACGUUUGCCACAUGCUGGCACAAUGCUUUUGGACUUCCCUGCCUCCAGAACUGUAAGAAAUAAAUCUCUUUUCUGUAUAAAUUACCCAGUCUGUGGUAUUCUGUUAUAGCAGCAGAAAAUAGGCUAAGCACUGUUCAAUGAUUAAUCUCCCUUGCUAUUUGUUUAUUCCAGUAAUUGGCAUAAAUUGAGACUAGCAGAGGGCAUGUCCAUUUUGUGUUGCUAUAAAGAAACACCUGAAGCUGGGUAAUUUAUAAAGAAAAGGGGUUUAUUUAAUUUAAGUUCUGCAGGCACCAAACCUGAGGGACUGCCUGGCUUUAUAAGAACUCUCAAGGGAAGUAAUUACACUAAGAACCAAUCCAGUGUCUCAAGAACAAGAAUUGCACCAAGCCAUUCAUGAGGGGUCCACCUCCAUGACCCAGAAACCUUCCACUAGGCCCAAACUGUCAACACCACCACAGUGCUGAUCAAAUUUCAACAUGAGAUUUGGUGGGGAUGAACAAACCGUAGCCACACCGUAGCAGUGGGAAGCUGAGGUGAGAAGGUGCGGGGUGUGAGGAGUCCUACACAGACCUACGGCUUAGUCACUGACUGCAAGCUGGUGGGGUGAGAGGCCUAGUCCCUGGGGUUCGGAUGGUGCUGUCACCGUGAGUGCAGGUAACAUGUAGCUCACCAUGCUGUUUGGUUAUAAAGCUAUAAAACUUAUUUCCUAUUUAAUGUUUUUCCUGGCCAGCUUCUUUCAUGCAAAAAAUAAUGUCCCAACAUGACAGUGGGCAUUGCCUUUUGCAUUUUCUGCAGGGCAGCCUGUGAAGGUGGCAGCAAUGGUUUGUUACUUUCCCAUCUCUCCUUUCCUGUGUUUUUUGCACUUUUGCUGCUUCUCCAAUGGGGUCACAGUGAGUUCAGGAUGCCAGUCCACCCACACUGAAUAACAUUAUGCCCCUGGCCCUUUCCUCCCAUCUCUAUUAACCUGGUGGACAUGUGGCCCUCCCAUUACUUCUUUCCUUGGCUGUUGUAGUGGCAGUUUAUGAUACACUGAAGUAGACAAUACACUAAAAAGGUAAUAUAUCCCUUCCAGAAAAAAAUCUUAUAUGGAAGCAGGAUUCCUACAGAUAAAGAGUUUUAAAUCCACAGGAAAAAUUUAAUGGGGGAUGUUUGGUAGUGUAAUUGGGUCAAAGCCUCAUAUAUUAUAAUUUUUGGUGACUGUUCUGCCUAUAAAAUAUGUAACCUACUUAGGGAUAGGUAUUGGUCAGGCACAAAUGUUUUUCUUUGUUUGGUUAUGAAAACUCUGAAAAAUACUAAAGAAUGUAUAUGAUACAUAUCACGUGAUUACAUAGUGCAUUUAAGGACAAACCAGCUGAGUAAACAGAUGUUACUAUCAAUGUGUUAGGAAUCUGCAAACAACCCCCCCCGCCCCGGCAUCAGAGCCCUCUGUGGGCUCCUUUCUAGUCACAUCCCCUGCCUCUUCCUAGAAGUAACCAUAACCAGAUUUGUGUUUAUAGUUCCACUGUUUUCGUUACAGUUUUACAACAUAUGUGUAUAUCUCUAAAUGAUGAGUUGCAGUUGUCGAGUAUUACAUGUUUUAGAACACAUUACAAGUAGUUUCUUUCACUGUGUGUAUUCCUUCAUGACUUUAUUCCUUCAAUGUUAUGCUUUGGAGAUUUAUUCUUGUUGACAUGAAUAGCUGUACAUUAUUUGUUUUUCCUGAUACAUACUAUUACAUAGUGUGAAUACUUCUGAAUUAUUUGCCCAUUCUUUUGUUGACAGAUCUUUGGGUACUUCCAGAUUUCUACUAUUACAAACCACAGUGCUUCAAAUAUUCUUACACCAUAUCUCAAAGUAUAUAUAUGCAUGAUUUCUCUCAUUGAAACCUAGGACUGGGAGUAUAAGGUUAUAGAAAAUGUACCACAUAAAGUUGAUUAGAUUACUGCUAUAUUGUUUUCCUAACUAGUUGAAGGAAAUGAUAUUUCUACCUGCAGUACAUAAGGGUGUGUGUGUAUGCACACACAUAUAUAAAAUGAUAUACAUUUGUCAUAUGUAUCAUAGCUAACAUUUGCUCCCAAUCUGAGGCCUGCAUUUUUGCUUUUGUCAAAGUGUUUUUUGUUUGCUUAUUUGUUUUUUCAUAAAGAUAAGUUAUUAAUGCUA